GGCUCCACAGUGUAGUGGUUAGCAUGUCUGCUUUAUACGCAGAAGGUCCUGGGUUUGCGCCCCAGGUGGAGCCA
rnacentral:tRNA from 1 species